UACGGGGGGGGCAAGCGUUGUUCGGAAUUACUGGGCGUAAAGGGCUCGUAGGUGGCCAACUAAGUCAUACGUGAAAUCCCUCGGCUUAACCGGGGGAACUGCGUCUGAUACUGGAUGGCUUGAGUUUGGGAGAGGGACGCGGAAUUCCAGGUGUAGCGGUGAAAUGCGCAGAUAUCAGGAGGAACACCGGAGGCGAAGGCGGGUCUCUGGGCCGAUACUGACGCUGAGGAGCGAAAGCGUGGGGAGCGAACAGG
rnacentral:rRNA from 1 species